UUGACUAGACCUACAAUUUAAAGGGAACAACUAUCGAACAAAUUGAAAAGCUUCUUUCUUUCUUCUUUCUUUCUUUGCUUUCCCUCAAAAUCGAACGAUUCCUAACGCCAUUUUGCUGUAAUAAAAUUUUUUCGCUCUUCGAUGCUAGUUUUAGAGCUCCGAUGAGCAAGUUUGUGUGUCCGUUUAAAAUUAACUCGGUCCAAAAGUUUACAGCAAGUUUGCAAGAAACCGCUUCACAGUCGAUGAUUUGAUUUUGUUUAUGCAAUUAAAACGGUCACAGAACUAGCAAGCAAUGCUGUUAUUUUAUGGUUUCUUGUUCGUUUGAGGUUCAUUGAACAGAGCGGGAAUUAUUGACAAGGUACCUUACUGGCGAUAAAAUCAUUGAUGUAGACAAUUGAUUCCGCAGUUCGAGUUUAUGACAGGCGUGAAUCUGUCCAGAAUAUUUGAUCUGUGGAAUUGCAACCAUGAAUUACAUCAUAACGUGUCUUUUGAGUUUUUUUGAAAUAUUUUUCAAGUUUGCCUUUUUACUCCGCCUUCUUCAUUGCCCAUUGUUCGGUACCCGUUUUCCACCUUAAAUAACCUACUAAAACUAAAGACGUCAACCUUUUUCACAAAUGGGAAAUGUGACAUUAUCCCAUAUUAUGGUCCGUAUGAAAAUAAUGAUCAUUUCAAUUAUUGAAGUUUAUACGUUAGAUGCGAACCAUUAAAAGUUUUCCUUUAGCUUAACUGACACUCAGCUUUCGCGCAAUUUGAAGAUUUUCUACGAUCUCCGUAGGACUUCGUAGCUAACACUUAUCAAUAAAAUACGUGUUUGAGCGUUAUUAAUUAUUUACUUUACUAAACCGUGAAUUUCAGUUGUGUCUUUUCCUCUACAUCGAUCAAGGAGGAGUAGUAUGUGAAUUUCUCCAUUUCCUCGCUCGGUUGUGCAAAAGGGUAGUGUAGUGAAGCUGUCAAACUAAAACUGGAGUAACUUGUCCUUUCCUCCACAGUUGGAAGGUUCGUUGGCGCGCCAAAAUCAUGAGAACAUAUGCCGUGAUCGUGUGCCUACUUCUCAUUCUGUACCAAGUUAGUCCGGCUCCAAGACCAUGUAGAAAUAGAAGAGAUGUAAGUGAGAAAAAGACUGACGAUAAAACAGAAAAUAAGGAAAAUGAUCAUAAAAGUUCGGGGGAGAGCGAAGCAAAAGAAAGUCAAAAGGACAAAAAACAAUUUGUUCCAUAUUAUCCGGCAGCUCCCGCCGUCCCAGCCUAUAACAUGGGAGAUGUCAUCUGUGAGGACAGUAGACCUGUGCAAGUUGUCCAAAUAAGGGAUUUAAGCAUUGUGAAUGGAGUCAUCAAGUCGAGCAAUAUCUCAUAGAUCCAGGACGACAGACCACGGGUAGAAGAAAUUUGGAUAUUGGAUAGUUUUUGUACAAAGACAUUUUUUGAACGUUUGUAGUACACUUGUUUGUGGUUUGCGAUUCAUUCCUUCACGAGGUUUAUUUGCGCCCUGAGAUGACUACAAAAAUGGAGAAAAGUUUAUGUAGUUUCGAACCACGCAUAACCACGAGGAGAGGUUUCACUAAAUGGCUGAGAUUUGCCCCAAGUCCACGCUUGGACAUACCGACAGCCUUUAGGUGGCUAUUCAAGGAGAUUUGAGGAUCCGCGAGAGAGAAAAAAGACUUUUAAAAUCUGUUGAGUGUGCAAUCAUCAGCCUUACUGCAAAGAAAAAGACAAUCGAAAUACUUUUGAAAGAGCAAGCUACUCCACAGAUUGUGUCUUCGUUUGGCGAGGCGUUAUGUACAUAUCUUGUAGAGAUAUUUGCAGCCGUCGACGGUAGAGCAGAACUAUAGUGCACGCAAAUUCACAACUGUACGACGAGAUGGUAUUGCAGAACUUUAGGUUUGUAAAAAGGAAACAAAUCACAUAAAACAAAACAAAUUGUUAUA